rnacentral:rRNA from 1 species
UACGUAGGGUGCAAGCGUUGUCCGGAAUUAUUGGGCGUAAAGAGCUCGUAGGCGGUCUGUCGCGUCUGCUGUGAAAACUCAGGGCUUAACCCUGAGCUUGCAGUGGGUACGGGCAGACUAGAGUGCGGUAGGGGAGAAUGGAAUUCCUGGUGUAGCGGUGGAAUGCGCAGAUAUCAGGAGGAACACCGGUGGCGAAGGCGGGUCUCUGGGCCGAUACUGACGCUCAUGCACGAAAGCGUGGGGAGCAAACAGG